rnacentral:misc_RNA from 1 species
GAUGAAGAACGCAGCGAAAUGCGAUACUUGGUGUGAAUUGCAGAAUCCUGUGAACCAUCGAGUUUUUAAACGCAAGUUUCGCCCGAAGCCAUUAGGCCGAGGGCACGCCUGCCUGGGUGUCACACAUUGUUGCCCCAAUGCCAAUCGCCUCACUUUGUAGGUAUUUGCUUGGGGUGAAUGUUGGCCUCCCGGGAGCUCUGUCUCACGGUUGGUUGAAAAUCGAAUGCAUGGUGUCGGGUGUACCAUGAUGGAUGGUGGUUGAGUGAUGCUCGAGACCAAUCAUGGGUAACUCCACCAGAAUUGUGCUCGGUGACCCACAUGCGUCCCUUGGAUGCUCCCUAAGGAGACCUCAGGUCAGGCGGGGCUACCCGUUGAGUUUAAGCAUAUCAAUAAGCGGAGGA